rnacentral:lncRNA from 10 species
CUUCUAGACAGAGCCAGUUCCCUUUGCUACAGAAAGCCAAAGGCCAUAAUUCCCUAGAAUCCUGGAGCCUGCCAGGCCAGUUAUCUGCUUUCUGGCAGCCUGCAGUCACCUGUGGCCCUCCUGCUUGUAAAAUGCUCACUGCUGUGGCUCAACAGCUCCUUGGGGACAGGUCACCCAUGCUACCUACUUUCCCCGGCUUCAGCCAAUGGUCCCUCUUCCUCGAUGCUAAAAUCGCGGCGCCCAGACUCCACCCAAGAUCUUGAUCAACAAUGAAUGACCCUAUGAUUCAGCAGUGGAACACCUGCGAGUCUUCCUCUAGAAACACCCCCGACGCACCCAAAGACACACACAGAUACUCAGGCUGGUCUACUGAAGUAGCAGAAAAAUAUAAACAAUCAGAACACCCAUCCUCACAGCCCUGGUGACCUGACGCCUGGCGGACGCCCGUAGGGGGAUCCAACGCAGCUUUGGAACAGAAUAGGUGUGUGCAUUCAUUUCCUAGGGCCGCCUACAAAUUGCCAUCAACUGGGAGACUUUGAACAACAGAAAUUUAUCUUUACGUAAUUCUCGAGGCCAGAAUUCUGAAACCAAGUGCUACAGGGCCGUGAUGCCUCUGAAGGCUGUGGGGAGGACCCUUCCUGGCCCCUCCCAGCUUCUGGGGGUUCCUGGUGUUCCCUGGCUGUGGCUGCAUCACUCCAAUCUCUGCCUCCAUCUUCACAUGGGCUCCUCUUCUUAUAAGGAUACUUGGUUUUGGAUUUAGGACCCACCUGGUUAAUCCAGGAUGGUUUCAUGCCAAGACCCUUCAUGUGGUGACAUCUGUAGAGGCCUUUCUUCCAAGUUGAACCACACUCACAGGUACCAGCGUCCACCACAAGAACACAUCUUUUGAGGGGGCCACGAUUCAACCCAGUACAGUGAGGAAAACACCCUGUUUCCUCGGGUUGUGUUUAGGGUCAGCUCCUUUGUUGCUCUGUUGUGUCUCCUGGCCUCAUCCUUCCUCAUGGGCCUUCCCUCUGUCUAACCUGUUAUCUACAUGGUUUGUCUUGGCCGGGCGCUGUGGCUCAUGCCUGUAAUCCCAGCACUUUGAGAGACCGAGGCAGGUGGAUCGCUUGAGCCCAGGAGUUUGAGACCAGUCUGGGCAACAUAGUGAGACCUCAUCUUUACAAAAAGUACAAAAACAAAACAAAAAAGGACAGUUUGUCUUGCUCACUGCUGUGUUUCACCCCAGUGCCUGGAACAGUGGCCGGCAAGGGAAAACGCAAAGUGCAGACCUGUGCGUCCCAUUCAUGGGAUGACCACACACACGCACACACACACACACACACACACACACAAUGACAUAAACUCAUACACACACAAUGACAUAAAUUCACACUGCAUACACACAUACUGCAUACACACACUGCAUACAAACACACACAUCCACAAUGCAAACACACAUACUGCAUAUACACAUGCUGUAUACACAUCUGCAUAUACAUACAUACUGCAUACACGCACACUGUAUACACACACACAUCUGUAUACACAUACAUACUGCAUACAUGCACACUGUAUACACACACAUCUGAAUACACAUACGUACUGCAUACCUGCACACUGUAUACACACACACAAACACACGUGCUUUUUCUGAAAGACAUUUCAGAAUUACUAAUGGUCCUGGGAGUCCAGGGGCAUGGGGGAGGGGACGAGAGGGGCUUUUCGCUCCAUAUCCAUUUGUACUGCUUGAAAUCUGUAACCACACAAUCUAUGACCAAGAAAAAGUCUUAAAGUAACAACACAUCGUUACCUACACCCGGAACAAAGCCACUACAGGUGUGACCCCCUCAUCUGCUGCAAGCCGCUCAGUGCCGCUCCUGCCCCUCUCAGUCCCUCUCCGGCCCCUCCCCUCAUGCCUCCUGCCCCUCUACCCUCUGUAAAGAUGGAGCUGGGGGAAUAAUAUGGUUUGGAUCCAUGUCCCUGCCCAGAUCUCACGUUAAAGUGUAAUCCCCAGUGUUGGAGGUGGGGCCUGGUGGGAGGCGAUUGGAUCAUGGGGGUGGAUCCACUGGUGCUGUUCUCGUGAUAGUGAGUUCUCAUGAGAUCUGGUCAUGGAAAAGUGUGUAGCACUUCCCCACCCUUCUCUUGCUCCUGCUGCUCUGCCCAUGUGAUGUGCUGGCUUCCCCCUAGCCUUCCACCACGAUUGUAAGUUUCCUGAGGCCUCCCCAGAAGCAGAAGCCACUGUGCUUCCUGCACAGCCUGUGGAACUAUCAGCCAAUUAAACUUCUUUUCUUUGUAAAUUACCCAGGUU